rnacentral:rRNA from 1 species
AGCGAACGCUGGCGGCAUGCUUAACACAUGCAAGUCGCACGGGCAGGGCAACCUGUCAGUGGCGGACGGGUGAGUAACGCGUAGGUAUCUAUCCUUGGGUGGGGGACAACCGUGGGAAACUACGGCUAAUACCGCAUGAUGACUGAGGUCCAAAGGCGCAAGUCGCCUGGGGAGGAGCCUGCGUACGAUUAGCUAGUUGGUGGGGUAAAGGCCUACCAAGGCGACGAUCGUUAGCUGGUCUGAGAGGAUGAUCAGCCACAUUGGGACUGA